GACGAACGCUGGCGGCGUGCUUAACACAUGCAAGUCGAACGGACGAGUGAGAUAAGUUUACUUAACUCACAAGUUAGUGGCGGACGGGUGAGUAACACGUGGAUAAUCUACCUGCAACACCGGGAUAACGCUGUGAAAACGGUGCUAAUACCGGAUACGUUCCCUUGUGCGCAUGUAUGAGGGAAGAAAGCUCAGGCGGUUGCAGAUGAGUCCGCGGCUGAUUAGCUAGUUGGUGAGGUAAAGGCUCACCAAGGCGAUGAUCAGUAGCCGGCCUGAGAGGGUGAACGGCCACACUGGAAUUGAGAUACGGUCCAGACUCCUACGGGAGGCAGCAGUGGGGAAUCUUGGGCAAUGGGCGAAAGCCUGACCCAGCGACGCCGCGUUGGGGAUGAAGCCCUUCGGGGCGUAAACCCAUGUUGUAGGGGACGAAGAAAGUGACGGUACCCUACGAGAAAGCCCCGGCCAACUACGUG
rnacentral:rRNA from 1 species